CAAACGUCACAGUGGGUCCGGUCUCACGUGGCUCUUGCAGUUACAGAUACACAGGCAAGUCUCAAUAAAGGAUAAAAUUCCUCAACAAGGAACACUCGUGGUCCUCUCUGGAGUCACACCAGCUGUCCUACAUCUUCCCCGAAGUGCAGCUCUCUCAGUGGAUGCAAAGGGAUAAGAUGCAGGAAGGAGCACUGGACAGCAGGAACCACGGUCGUGGAUGAGGGGUUGUGGACAGAUCAGCAGGAAGACUUGGAUGAGAAAACUCCUGCACCGGCCAGGGGAGCAGAAAGCAAAACGAAAUCCCAUGUCUGGCAACUGCAAAUUGGUGGGACUACCUAAAUUAAAUGGUGUUGACAACACCACAAUUUUGUUGUUGCUCUCUGUCUUUGGGAAAAUGAAAUUUUUAACUCCACCGUGGAUUUUUGCAUUAUUUCACAUCAAGAUCUUGCAAAACACGUGCUCUUAAGGGAUUUAAGGUCUGCUAUUCAGCAGACCUUUUCCAGAAGCAUCCUGGCACCUGCUGGAAGGAAAAGAAAGGAACAGAAAGCUUUUUGCAGUUUGUAGUCACUUUGCAUCAAGGAAGGGGACAUAAGGAAAACAUUUCCAAGCCUGUCCUGCAAGAGCAGUGAAAAAAUGACCCAUCAAACUCAAAAAGCACCUGAGUCUUCCCAUGAUCUGGAUUAUGGGAUAGAUUUUCCUCAUGGAUCCCACUCAUCUUCUUCAGCAGUCAUGUGCUGUC